GGGCCCGUAGCUCAGUGGUGAGAGCAGCGGCCUUAUAAGCCGUUGGUCGCGGGUUCGAUUCCCGCCGGGCCUACCA
rnacentral:tRNA from 1 species